rnacentral:lncRNA from 1 species
GGUGAGGUCUGUGUUAACCUUAUUCAGCAUCUCUUUCAGAUGCUCAACCUCCCCCUGGCCACCUCGAUCUAUGCACGUGCCUUCGAGAUAGCAGACUCAGUCUGUCAGCAUAGAUUCAUCAUCAUCCCUACUCUAUGCAUGCUGUUCAGAAGGAUGACCAAAAAAUAGAGCACCUGCCCCAAAACCAUGUCAGAGGAGGAGAAGAGGCA